rnacentral:rRNA from 1 species
GGAGUGCUUGCACUCUGUGAAACAAGAUACAGGCUAGCGGCGGACGGGUGAGUAACACGUGGGUAACCUGCCCAAGAGAUCGGGAUAACACCUGGAAACAGAUGCUAAUACCGGAUAACAACAGAUGAUGCCUAUCAACUGUUUAAAAGAUGGUUCUGCUAUCACUCUUGGAUGGACCUGCGGUGCAUUAGCUAGUUGGUAGGGUAACGGCCUACCAAGGCGAUGAUGCAUAGCCGAGUUGAGAGACUGAUCGGCCACAUUGGGACUGAGACACGGCCCAAACUCCUACGGGAGGCAGCAGUAGGGAAUCUUCCACAAUGGACGCAAGUCUGAUGGAGCAACGCCGCGUGAGUGAAGAAGGGUUUCGGCUCGUAAAGCUCUGUUGUUGGUGAAGAA